UACGAAGGGGGCGAGCGUUGUUCGGAAUUACUGGGCGUAAAGGGCGCGUAGGCGGCUCGGUAAGCGUGUGGUGAAAGCCUGGGGCUCAACCCCGGGUCGGCCAUGCGAACUGUCGAGCUGGAGCACUGUAGAGGCAGGCGGAAUUCCGGGUGUAGCGGUGGAAUGCGUAGAGAUCCGGAAGAACACCGGUGGCGAAGGCGGCCUGCUGGGCAGUAGCUGACGCUGAGGCGCGACAGCGUGGGGAGCAAACAGG
rnacentral:rRNA from 1 species